rnacentral:ncRNA from 1 species
AAGAGCGAUGAAGCGUGAGAUUGCAGUUCAUUCCCAGACUGGUAACUCCGUGGAGCAAAUGUCAAGUCUCAGAUACUGGCG